UCCAGACUCCUACGGGAGGCAGCAGUGGGGGAUAUUGCACAAUGGGGGCAACCCUGAUGCAGCGACGCCGCGUGAGCGAUGGAGUACUUCGGUAUGUAAAGCUCUGUCAGCAGGGAAGAGAAUGACGGUACCUGACCAAGAAGCCCCGGCUAAAUACGUGCCAGCAGCCGCGGUAAUACGUAGGGAGCAAGCGUUGUCCGGAAUUACUGGGUGUAAAGGGAGCGUAGACGGCAGUGCAAGUCCGGAGUGAAGGCCCGGGGCUCAACCCUGGGACUGCUCUGGAAACUGUAAAGCUGGAGUGCGGGAGGGGCAGGCGGAAUUCCUGGUGUAGCGGUGAAAUGCGUAGAUAUCAGGAGGAACACCGGCGGCGAAGGCGGCCUGCUGGACUGCAACUGACGUUGAGGCUCGAAAGCGUGGGGAGCAAACAGGAUUAGAUACCCCAGUAUUG
rnacentral:rRNA from 1 species